GUGUGUGAAGAAGGCCCUAGGGUUGUAAAGCACUUUCAGUGGGGAGGAAAGGUCGAAGGUUAAUACCCUUUGGCUGUGACGUUACCCACAGAAGAAGCACCGGCUAACUCCGUGCCAGCAGCCGCGGUAAUACGGAGGGUGCGAGCGUUAAUCGGAAUUACUGGGCGUAAAGCGUGCGUAGGCGGCCAUUUAAGUUGGAUGUGAAAGCCCCGGGCUCAACCUGGGAACUGCAUCCAAAACUGGGUGGCUUGAGUGCGAGAGAGGAGUGUGGAAUUUCCUGUGUAGCGGUGAAAUGCGUAGAUAUAGGAAGGAACACCAGUGGCGAAGGCGACACUCUGGCUUGACACUGACGCUGAGGUACGAAAGCGUGGGGAGCAAACAGGAUUAGAUACCCUGGUAGUCCACGCCGUAAACGAUGUCUACUAGUUGUCGGUGGUCUUGUACUGCUGGUAACGCAGCUAACGC
rnacentral:rRNA from 1 species